rnacentral:rRNA from 1 species
UUGAUCCUGGCUCAGGAUGAACGCUAGCGGCAGGCCUAACACAUGCAAGCCGAACGGUAAGGCUCAGCUUGCUGAGUACACGAGUGGCGAACGGGUGAGUAACGCGUAUGCAACUUACCUUCAAUUGGAGAAUAGCCCCGAGAAAUUGGGAUUAAUACUCCAUAAUAUAUAGAAUUCGCAUGUUUUCUAUAUUAAAGCUUUGGCGAUUGAAGAUGGGCAUGCGUGACAUUAGCUAGUUGGUGAGGUAAGGGCUCACCAAGGCAACGAUGUUUAGGGGUUCUGAGAGGAUUAUCCCCCACACUGGUACUGAGACACGGACCAGACUCCUACGGGAGGCAGCAGUGAGGAAUAUUGGGCAAUGGGUGAAAGCCUGACCCAGCCAUGCCGCGUGCAGGAUUGACGGCCCUAUGGGUUGUAAACUGCUUUUGUACGGGAAGAAACCCUCGAACUUGUUCGAGGUUGACGGUACCGUACGAAUAAGCAUCGGCUAACUCCGUGCCAGCAGCCGCAGUAAUACGGAGGAUGCAAGCGUUAUCCGGAUUUAUUGGGUUUAAAGGGUGCGUAGGCGGGACAGUAAGUCAGUGGUGAAAGCCUGCAGCUUAACUGCAGAAUUGCCAUUGAAACUGCUGUUCUUGAGUACAGUUGAAGUGGAUGGAAUGUGUUAUGUAGCGGUGAAAUGCAUAGAUAUGACACAGAACACCGAUAGCGAAGGCAGUUCACUAAACUGUAACUGACGCUGAGGCACGAAAGCGUGGGUAGCAAACAGGAUUAGAUACCCUGGUAGUCCACGCCGUAAACGAUGAUUACUCGAUGUGUGCGAUAAACAGUACGCGUCCAAGCGAAAGUGUUUAGUAAUCCACCUGGGAAGUACGUCCGCAAGGAUGAAACUCAAAGGAAUUGACGGGGGCCCGCACAAGCGGAGGAGCAUGUGGUUUAAUUCGAUGAUACGCGAGGAACCUUACCUGGGCUUAAAUGCAGAACGACGUACUGGGAAACCAGUAUUUCUUCGGACGGACUGCAAGGUGCUGCAUGGUUGUCGUCAGCUCGUGCCGUGAGGUGUCGGGUUAAGUCCCAUAACGAGCGCAACCCUUAUCUUUAGUUGCCAGCAUGUAAUGAUGGGGACUCUAAAGAAACUGCCUACGCAAGUAGUGAGGAAGGUGGGGAUGACGUCAAAUCAGCACGGCCCUUAUGUCCAGGGCUACACACGUGCUACAAUGGCUGGUACAGAGGGCAGCUACCUGGUAAUUGGAUGCUAAUCUCUAAAACCAGUCUCAGUUCGGAUUGAAGUCUGCAACUCGACUUCAUGAAGUUGGAUUCGCUAGUAAUCGCAUAUCAGCAACGAUGCGGUGAAUACGUUCCCGGGCCUUGUACACACCGCCCGUCAAGCCAUGGAAGUUGGGGGUACCUGAAGUCGAUAACCGUAAGGAGUCGCCUUAGGGUAAAACCAAUGACUGGGGCUAAGUCGUA